rnacentral:rRNA from 1 species
GAUGAACGCUGGCGGCGUGCCUAAUACAUGCAAGUCGAGCGAACAGACGAGGAGCUUGCUCCUCUGACGUUAGCGGCGGACGGGUGAGUAACACGUGGAUCACCUACCUAUAAGACUGGGAUAACUUCGGGAAACCGGAGCUAAUACCGGAUAAUAUAUUGCACCGCAUGGUUCAUUAGUGAAAGACGGUUUUGCUGUCUCUUAUAGCUGGAUCCGCGCCGCAUUAGCUAGUUGGUAGGGUAAAGGCUUUCCAGGGCAACCAGGCGUAGCCGACCUGACAGGGGGAUAGGCGACACGAGAGGGUGAACGCGGUCAAGACUACUGAGAUAGGGAGCAGUAGGGAAUCUUACGCAAUGGGCGGAAGCCUGACGGAGCGGCGGGGCGUGAGUGAUAGAAGUCUUGGGUUCGUGAAGCUCUGUUAUUAGUGGAGAACAAAUUUGGAAGGAACUAUGCACGGCGUGACGGUACCGAGUCAGGAAGCCACGGCUAACUACGUG